rnacentral:rRNA from 1 species
AGUGAACGCUGGCGGUAGGCCUAACACAUGCAAGUCGAACGGCAGCACAGUAAGAGCUUGCUCUUACGGGUGGCGAGUGGCGGACGGGUGAGGAAUACAUCGGAAUCUACUUUUUCGUGGGGGAUAACGUAGGGAAACUUACGCUAAUACCGCAUACGACCUACGGGUGAAAGCAGGGGAUCUUCGGACCUUGCGCGAUUGAAUGAGCCGAUGUCGGAUUAGCUAGUUGGCGGGGUAAAGGCCCACCAAGGCGACGAUCCGUAGCUGGUCUGAGAGGAUGAUCAGCCACACUGGAACUGAGACACGGUCCAGACUCCUACGGGAGGCAGCAGUGGGGAAUAUUGGAAAAUGGGCGCAAGCCUGAUCCAGCCAGACCGCGUGGGUGAAGAAGGCCUGCGGGUUGUAAAGCCCUUUUGUUGGGAAAGAAAAGCAGCAGGUUAAGACCCCGCUGUUCGGACGGUACCCAAAGAAGAAGCACCGGCUAACUGCGU